AGACUGAGGCUCGGAGGCAUUAUCUUCACAGUCCUGCUUGUAAUAGGAGCCAUAAUCACCCUUUGUUAUGGCAAAUGUGGAAGGAAGAAAAAAAAUGAUGAAAACGCCAGUCAGAUUUAAAGAUCUACCUCAUGAGGACUGCAUUAUUUUGGGGGUGUUGGAUAACAUGAGUGUUCUUUUCUUUUUCUUUUUUUAAGAAGGUAGUUAACUGAGCUACUUUGUUGUAUUAAUAUCGGGCAACCAGGGAUGAAAUGUUUCCAGUCUUUAUAUUAUUUAUCAUAAUUUAAACUUUGGAAAACUGUACAAAACA